GCGGUCCUGGUGUAGCGGAAGCAUCGGAGACCGUGACUCUCCGGGCGCCGGUUCGAAUCCGGCGGACCGCCCCC
rnacentral:tRNA from 4 species